UCCGAGUUGUCCCCGGCAGUCUCCUAUGAGUCCCCGCCAUAACGCGCUGGCAACAUAGGACAAGGGUUGCGCUCGUUGCGGGACUUAACCCAACAUCUCACGACACGAGCUGACGACAGCCAUGCACCACCUGUCAUGGGCCCUUACGGACACCGUAUUUCUACGGCUUUUCCCAUGAUGUCAAGCCCAGGUAAGGUUCUUCGGGUUGCAUCGAAUUAAGCCGCAUGCUCCGCCGCUUGUGCGGGGACCCGUCAAUUCCUUUGAGUUUUAGCCUUGCGGCCGUAGUCCCCAGGCGGGGUGCUUAACGCGUUAGCUGCGGCACAGAGAUCGUGAACUGAUCCCCACACCUAGCACCCAUCGUUUACGGCGUGGACUAC
rnacentral:misc_RNA from 1 species